UUGAAUUCCUCUCUCUUGCUGGCUAGCCUCUUCUUCAGUUGGGUAUCAAUAUUAAGCUUAUCCCAGAGGUCAGCGUUUCAGAUGGUGACUAUCUCUGAGCCCUAUGAUAUAAACCUGUCAUGAGGAAUUGUCAUUUGGUUUACUGCAAGGCCUUUGUGAGCCAUAGGUUAAUAUAUUAAUGAAGACUGUGGCUGUUAGCCUACAUUAAAUAAUGACGGCCAAUGAUUGGAAGAAAAACAUCCUUAUGUUCCCCUGCAGAGUGUGAGAUUGAUGAGAAUGGAUUACCCUGCCAAGGGAACUCAAAAAUAUUACAACCUUUUAUUCCUCUGUGGCUUGGACGAGUGUGUAUUCAUUUCUA
rnacentral:lncRNA from 1 species